rnacentral:rRNA from 1 species
CCGCAACGAGCGCAACCCCUGCCGCCAGUUGCCACCGGGUAGAUCCGGGCACUCUGGCGGGACCGCCGGGGACAACCCGGAGGAAGGCGGGGACAACKUCAAAUCAUCAUGCCCCUUAUGUCCUGGGCUACACACKUGCUACAAUGGCCGGCACAGAGGGAAGCGAACCCGCGAGGGGGAGCAAAACACGAAAACCGGCCCCAGUUCGGAUUGCAGGCUGCAACCCGCCUGCAUGAAGCCGGAGUUGCUAGUAAUCGCGGAUCAGAACGCCGCGGUGAAUGCGUUCCCGGGUCUUGUACACACCGCCCGUCACACCAUGGAAGUUGGGGGCGCCCGAAGUCGGCCGGCAAAUAGGCUGCCUAAGGCGAAACCAAUGACUGGGGUGAAGUCGUAACAAGGUAGCCGUAUCGGAAGGUGCGGCUGGAUCACCUCCUUUCU